CGAGGGUUUUGCUUCAUUUUGUUCAGAAUUGUGAACAGUGCCGUCUUCUUCCCUCUGCUUCAAUGGCAGCGUGAGCAGUGCCGUCUUCUUCUUCUUUGCCCCCGGGUUUUCAACUUAUUUUGAAAUUGAAUUCUGGAACUUGAAGCUAUUGGUAAUUCAGAAUGACAUCUAAAAAAGAUGUGAAAAGUUUAGAGAAGGAUGGAAAAGUUGUUGCAAAAUGGGGGGAUGACAGUAAAACAGAAAGUUUGCUGAAAAUUUGCAUUGAAGAAAUAGAAGCGGGUAAUAGGCCAACUACCCACUUCAGUAAA